rnacentral:rRNA from 1 species
AGCGAACGCUGGCGGCAGGCUUAACACAUGCAAGUCGAACGGUCCUUCGGGAUAGUGGCGGACGGGUGAGUAACACGUGGGAACGUACCCUUAGGUUCGGAACAACACAGGGAAACUUGUGCUAAUACCGGAUAAGCCCUUCGGGGGAAAGAUUUAUCGCCUUUGGAGCGGCCCGCGUCUGAUUAGCUUGUUGGUGAGGUAAUGGCUCACCAAGGCUACGAUCAGUAGCUGGUCUGAGAGGAUGGCCAGCCACACUGGGACUGAGACACGGCCCAGACUCCUACGGGAGGCAGCAGUGGGGAAUCUUGCGCAAUGGGCGAAAGCCUGACGCAGCCAUGCCGCGUGGAUGAUGAAGGUCUUAGGAUUGUAAAAUCCUUUCACCGGGGACGAUAAUGACGGUACCCGGAGAAGAAGCCCCGGCUAACUUCGUGCCAGCCGCCGCAGAUA